GUCCUUAGUACUCUGGUUUCCACAGAAUAAUCCUCAUGCAGUGAGUAGUGGAAGUCAGGAGGAGUAAACUGCCUAGAUGUCAUGAAGGGAAAGCAAUGCACAAUAGACUUGUGCAGAAUCUAUUCCUGUCCGUUUCCCUGUGAAUCCAGGUUGCUGAACACUGGCCGAUGUCUGAGCUGUGGUUUCCCCCUGGAUUUGAAAUGUAGUUACUAGAAGACAAUGCUUUUGAAUGGCUUCUUGGCCGUGACUUUCAUAGGGCCUGCUGGCUGUUGCCUGAUGAUUGUUUGAUAGGCUUAGCACCUUGGCAAAGCAAUGUUUCAUUUGCAAAACUACGCUUGUCCAGUGCCUCCUGGGAACUGAAAGCCUGGCAUCAGCAGAGGAACGCAAAUUGGGCAAAUCACAGAUCUCCCAGGCAUGCGUUGCUUGGGGGCCGUGGCACACAGCACUGCUAAAAGUCUAGGACAAUCUAUGUAUUUUAGGAGCAAACCAGUGCCUUGCACUUCUAAGCUGUAUCCUUUGCUCCCUCCCUGAGAGGCAGCCGUGUGCUCUGGGCUUCCUAGCCUUGUAUGACCUCUGAAAAUAUGACCUGAAGCAGAUGGAUGCACUCACAUAAGAAACAUCACCUGUGGCCUUCAUUGAAAAUGGGCCUGCUGCUCAAAGAAGUUGGGCUCUUGGAGUUCUCUAGCACAGGGGCCAUGAAAAUCAAUGACUUCCUUGUUUGCUGAUGGAGCAGAGGUAGAAUCUCUUGGUGUUUCCACAGAGAAAACACUGACCAUGAAGAGCCAAGAAAGAUGACAUGAUGAAGCCAUCAGGGGAAGCACCAAACAUCCUCAACUCUGCUCACCCAUGGUUUUCUCCCACCCUCCCAGAGCUCCUCCUGCGUGAGUAAUGCAGUGUGUGCUGGUGCAGUGUCUCACUGAAAAAAGAAAGAAACCCUGAUUUGCAGCAUUGGCCAAUUUCUGUAGUGUAAAUACUCCCACCAUAGCAGAUUUCAGGUUACCAAGGGUUUCACAACUGGUUCACAAGUCUUGACUGUAAUGACCAGCUCAUGCAACUCCAGCAUCUCAUCAUCUCCACCCUGUCCCAGAAAAUCCCCACAUCACACCCAGGCUGAAUAUCACUUUCAGCUUCUCAGUCAGAAGGAGAAGUGGUUAACUAUGCCAGGAUGGUAAUGACUAAAUAUCAGAAUGGUGAGUGUGGAGGGUCAGGAUAUCUGCCAAAUUGGAGAUGACUCUUCACUUCUCAAUCUUGGUGUCUCAUCUGGGGAAGUUGGAGGGAGACAUGCACAGCUUCUCAUGAACAGUCCUGGAAGCCCUUACCCCAAGGCCUCAUGGGGCUCUCUCCAGGGCUUGCUCUUUGUCACUCUCCCCUUUAAAAGCCUGUCAUUCAUUGUCAGAGAACAGAAGGCUCCAUCCUAAGGCCAAGUUGAAAAUGGCAGGCUUGGGAGCUGUCUAGACUCUGGGUCCUGGCUUUUGUCUUGGCUGGUGUCAAAAUGGACUCAAAAUGGACUCUUUAAAAACUGGCCUCAGGAAGAUUCCCCAUCCAACUCUGAACAGCCUGGACUGAUCUUUUUCUGAUUUUUAGGGGUCUUGUGAACAAGAGUCAGGUGGGCGGGCAGCUCUUGUAAAGCUGAACAUAACCAAAUUUGUCCAUAGCCUGUGACAGCAAAGAUCACAAAACUCUUCCCUCCCCUUUAGGGCCUGGGAGUGAUGCCGAACCAAGGGGAGGAUAGUGACCUAUUUUAUCUCCCAAACAUUGGGCAGCCAGUUGCAUUUGCAGAUUUAAAAUCCACCCACACUACUGCAGUUUCUGUUCUCCUGCCCCCCCCAAGCAUACUUCUGGCUGGAGCUGGUUUUGUAAAGUGGAGUUGGCUGUGGGUGUGGGAGUCCUCCUCGGAGAGCCUGGUCUGACAGCCCCAGUCAACAGCCCUCCCAUGGGCAUUUGGGCUGCUCCAGUCCCAGCAGGUGCACAGCUCAGGGGAAUCUGGUUUUGUCUUGGUCUCAGCCAGGGAAGUCUAGUUAAAGAAAGAAAAGGUUGGCUGGGUGCAGUGGCUCACACCUGUAAUCCCAGCACUUUGGGAGGCUGAGAUGGGCAGAUCACGAGGUCAGGAGUUUGAGACCAGCAUGGCCAACAUGGUGAAACCCCGUCUCUACUAAAAAUACAAAAAUUAGCUGGGCGUGGUGGCAGAUGCCUGUAAUCCCAGCUACUUGGGAGGCUGAGGCAGGAGAAUCGCUUGAAACCAGAAGGUGGAGGUUGCAGUGAGCCGAGAUCGUGCCACUGCACUCCAGCCUGGGCAACAAGAGCAAAACUCUGUCUC
rnacentral:lncRNA from 1 species